UACGAAGGGGGCUAGCGUUGUUCGGAAUUACUGGGCGUAAAGCGUGCGCAGGCGGCUUCUCAAGUCAGUGGUGAAAGCCCAGAGCUCAACUCUGGAAUUGCCUUUGAGACUGAGUGGCUUGAGUACGAGAGAGGUGAGUGGAAUUCCCAGUGUAGAGGUGAAAUUCGUAGAUAUUGGGAAGAACACCGGUGGCGAAGGCGGCUCACUGGCUCGUAACUGACGCUCAUGCACGACAGCGUGGGGAUCAAACAGG
rnacentral:rRNA from 1 species